rnacentral:miRNA from 1 species
ACCGGAAUGGUUAGUGUUCGU